GGCUAGCGAUAUACUGACACAAUCGCAAACAAAAUUUGCGACGCCCACGAAUUCGAUGAACUAAAAACGUAAUUGAAAAUUGGAUCGCGAAAUUGUGUCCAAAAUCUGCAUCGUAGAAUUCUCUACUGAGCAUGGGUUCCAUAGAUACGCCCACUCGAGCCGAGAACGGUUCUUCGAGUCCACUUCUCAACGGCACCGUCAAUGGCCAGGCCGCCGGUAACGGAGCAAUCCAGUCCAUGGCUGUGGAAUCCAACGGAGGAGCCUCGACGGAGAGCGAUGCGUUGAAAAGGCGGAAGGCCAGCAUGCUACCUCUUGAAGUAGGCACGCGCGUGAUGUGCCGCUGGCGAGACUCCAAGUACCACCCUGUAAAAGUCAUCGAACGCCGGAAAGUGUCCGCCGUGGGAAACAAUGACUACGAGUACUACGUUCACUACACAGAGUUCAACAGAAGACUUGAUGAAUGGGUUAAACUUGAGCAACUUGAUCUGGACUCAGUGGAGACUGUUGUGGAUGAGAAGGUGGAGGACAAGGUGACAAGCUUGAAAAUGACACGCCAUCAAAAGCGUAAGAUUGAUGAGACACACGUGGAGGGUCAUGAAGAACUUGAUGCUGCUAGCCUGCGAGAACAUGAAGAGUUCACAAAGGUUAAGAAUAUUGCAACAAUUGAACUUGGACGAUAUGAGAUUGAGACAUGGUAUUUCUCCCCAUUUCCACCAGAAUACAACGAUUGUACAAAGCUUUUCUUCUGCGAAUUUUGUCUCAAUUUCAUGAAGCGUAAAGAACAACUUCAGAGACAUAUGAGAAAGUGUGAUCUUAAGCAUCCCCCUGGUGAUGAGAUUUAUCGAAGUGGUACCCUGUCAAUGUUUGAGGUUGAUGGCAAAAAGAAUAAAGUUUAUGGACAGAAUCUUUGCUAUCUGGCAAAGUUAUUUCUUGACCACAAGACGCUUUACUAUGAUGUUGACCUGUUCCUGUUUUAUGUUCUUUGCGAAUGUGAUGAUCGAGGGUGCCAUAUGGUUGGCUAUUUUUCUAAGGAAAAGCAUUCGGAAGAAUCUUACAAUUUGGCCUGUAUCCUGACUCUUCCACCUUAUCAGAGAAAAGGCUAUGGGAAAUUCCUAAUUGCAUUUUCAUAUGAACUUUCUAAGAAAGAAGGUAAAGUGGGCACUCCAGAAAGACCUCUUUCUGACUUAGGUAUGCUAAGCUACCGGGGUUAUUGGACUCGUGUUUUACUAGAUAUAUUGAAAAAGCACAAGGGCAACAUUUCUAUCAAGGAGCUGAGUGAUAUGACUGCAAUCAAGGCAGAAGACAUUCUAAGCACCCUUCAGGCCUUGGAGCUAAUUCAGUACCGGAAAGGGCAACAUGUCAUCUGUGCUGAUCCCAAGGUGUUGGAUCGUCAUCUAAAAGCUGCUGGCCGAGGUGGUCUGGAAGUGGAUGUUAGCAAAUUGAUAUGGACUCCUUACAAGGAGCAAAGCUAAUUUUAAAGUACCUUUCUUCCUUUUACAGCUCCCUCCCUCCCUUGCCCACCAAGGUGGGAUAUGUACAAAAGAUCCAGUGACUAGAGAAAAUCGCAGCCACUACUUGAGCGUCGGGUCGGUGUUUACUAGGUAAAUUGUAAUUUUUAAUUGGAGUUGUGGCAGGCAGCACACUUUUUCCCUGUGUUGGUGAAUAUGAUAGCAUUGAAUACUUUUUUCUUUUUAAUUAUUCAUGCAGAAGCCUAAAUUAUGUA